AUGGCGAUGGAGGGCUACGACCGCGAGUUCUGGCAGUUCGGCGACCAGCUGCGGCUCCAGACGGCCAGCUUCUCCGGCCUCUCCCUCGGCGACUCCAUCUGGUCCCCCGCCGACGCCGCCCCCCGCGCCCGCAACGCCGACCUCUUCUCCCCCUCCCCGGCGCCCGACAACAACAACGCCGCCAAGAUGAACGGCAACGGCCUCAACGGGCCCGGCCUCAUCGGGUCCGGCAAGCUCGCCUUCGGCGCCACCACCACCAGCAAGGCCGACCGCUACAACAACGUCAGCCUCCCCGCCGCCGCCGACGCCAACGCCAAGCCCUACGGCAACGCCAACGGCCUAUACGGUGCCAAGCCCAACAACGCCACCAACAACGGCUUCGGGCUCAACAAGAUGGCUGCCGGCGGCGGGGGCUACGGCAACUUCAACGGCGGCAACGACGGGGUGAAGAGCUACUUCAACAAGUCCAUCGGCAGGCCGGCCAGCAACAACAGCAGCAACAACAACUUCAGCGGCUACGGCGGCAAGAAGGGCGCUGCCGACGGCAAGAAGAAGCACGCCAAGAACGAGCGAGGGGACAACAACCAUGGCGCGGCCUCGGAGAAGCGGUUCAAGACGCUGCCGGCGUCCGAGGCGCUGCCCCGGAACGAGCCCAUCGGCGGCUACAUCUUCGUCUGCAACAACGACACCAUGGAGGAGAACCUCAAGAGGCAGCUCUUCGGGUUGCCAUCCAGAUACAGAGAUUCAGUGAGGGCGAUCAGGCCGGGGCUGCCCCUCUUCCUCUACAACUACUCCACCCAUCAGCUCCACGGCAUCUUCGAGGCUGCGAGCUUUGGCGGAGCGAACAUCGACCCGGCGGCGUGGGAGGACAAGAAGUGCAACGGCGAGUCUCGCUUCCCUGCACAGGUGCGGGUGGCUACAAGGAAGAUCUGCGACCCGCUGGAGGAGGACGCCUUCCGCCCGAUCCUGCACCACUACGACGGGCCCAAGUUCCGGCUGGAGCUCAGCAUCACCGAGGCUCUCUCCCUUCUCGAUAUAUUUGAAGACAAGGACGAUUGA
rnacentral:rRNA from 1 species